rnacentral:lncRNA from 1 species
GGGUCACAUUUAAAGUUAAUGGAAAAUGCUUGAAAAACUACUAGGGUGCUCAUGUGGAUAGAGAUAAGCAAUUCAUUGAGCUCCGAGAUGUUUGAGCUAAUAAUUAUAUUUUCUAUUUUUCUUUUCCUUAAUUACUUUACUUUAAUUUCAUUUUUAUUAUUCGUUAUCUUUAAUUAUUUCUUUUUUCUUCUAUUUCUAUUUUUAUCUUUGAGUAGUUUUAUGUUUUCU